GUAAAAGUGACACACAUUCCACAAACCGGGCAGGGGAGCACCUUUAUUGUAAAUCAACAAUUUCUCAGUGUGAUAGCUAUUCUUGCUUAUCAACUUGACUACAUCUGGACAGUCCUGUGAAGGAUUUUUCUUGAUUGGAUCACUUGAGGUGCAUUUGUGUCUUUUGGGAAAUGGGCCAAGUAAAUAACUGCUGUUGGAAGGGUUGGAUCACAGCCAGGCAUGGAAAGCAAGCACCUGCAACCCCCACACUUGGGAGACUGAGACAGGAGGAUCACUGUGAGUUGGAGGCUAAGCUGGGCUUCUUAAUUAAUUCCAGGCCAGGCUGAAAUAAGAAUGAUUGAGAUACUAUUACUAAAAACAAAACAAAGGCAAAAAUCAAACCCAAACCAAACAAAUUAG
rnacentral:lncRNA from 1 species